rnacentral:rRNA from 1 species
GACGAACGCUGGCGGCGUGCUUAACACAUGCAAGUCGAACGGAAAGGCCCUGCUUUUGUGGGGUGCUCGAGUGGCGAACGGGUGAGUAACACGUGUGUAACCUGCCCUUGACUUUGGGAUAACUUCAGGAAACUGGGGCUAAUACCGGAUAGGAGCUCCUGCUGCAUGGUGGGGGUUGGAAAGUUUCGGCGGUUGGGGAUGGACUCGCGGCUUAUCAGCUUGUUGGUGGGGUAGUGGCUUACCAAGGCUUUGACGGGUAGCCGGCCUGAGAGGGUGACCGGCCACAUUGGGACUGAGAUACGGCCCAGACUCCUACGGGAGGCAGCAGUGGGGAAUAUUGCACAAUGGGCGGAAGCCUGAUGCAGCAACGCCGCGUGCGGGAUGACGGCCUACGGGUUGUAAACCGCUUUCGCCUGUGACGAAGCGUGAGUGACGGUAAUGGGUAAAGAAGCACCGGCUAACUACGUG